UACGUAGGGGCAAGCGUUGUCCGGAUUUAUUGGGCUUAAAGCGCGUGUAGGCGGACGGGUGCGUCGGCUUCUGAAAGCCCCCGGCUCAACCGGGGAAGUGGGGCCGAAACGACCCGUCUCGAGGGACGUAGGGGGAUCUGGAACUUCCGGUGGAGCGGUGAAAUGCGUUGAGAUCGGAAGGAACGCCCGUGGCGAAAGCGAGAUCCUGGACGUUUUCUGACGCUGAGACGCGAAAGCUAGGGGAGCAAACGGG
rnacentral:rRNA from 1 species